rnacentral:lncRNA from 1 species
AAUAAAUAUCUUUUUUAUAUUUUCAAGAUGAAUUAUCAAGCAAGUGACCUAUUAACUUCUCUUUUCCUUUAAAUUUAAGUUCUACAAGUAGAAGUUUUUAAAGGUUGUACAUAUGCUAAAGCUGGGAUUUUCAGUCAGGUGUGUUGAUUUAAUUAUGUCCUUUAUUUGCUUGCCUGCAUUCACAUUUCUUAUUAAUGGUGAGAGACUCGAGAUAAAAUAAUUCCACAAGGAGGGCUCGUACAAGGUUGCCUCCUCUCCCCAUAUUUAUUUGUUUUAUGAAGUUGAGUAUUUUGUUUGAAGAAAUAAUGCUUGUUUGAAGAUAACGAAUUUUAAACAAAUGAAUUAGAAAAAAUUGAUAUAUCAUAAAAUACAAGAUUCCCAAUAAAUUUAAAGCAUUUCUCUUUAAGAGUGGCAAACUAUCCAAAUUAUCAUGAAUCUAAGAGCGGUAAAAUGAAUAAAUGAAUCGAAUUCGAAUCAAAUCAUAAACAAAUUUGGUCAAAAUUCUAGUGAUUCAGAUAAAAUAAUGGAAAUCUCAUAAUUUAAAUUCCAUUCAUUUAUUAAACAAAUAUCCAGUUCAAUUCACUUAAUUCAUUUAGUGGAUUUCAUAAACAAAUCAAAUCGAAUUUGGAUUCAUUACUAUUUGUUUAUCAUAUAAUAAAUCUACAAUGAAUCGAAUUGAAUAUGAAUUGGUUUACCAAAAUAUAAUUAAUAAACAAAAAUUAAGCCAAAGAAAAUAUAAAAAUACCAUAAACUUAACAUCCUACAAAAUAUACAUAACAUAAUCCAAACAUAUUCUAAGAUUAAAAUAUACAAACAUUGAAACACCAAAUUACAAAUUUUUGACAAUACAAAUAAAAGUAAUUCAAAUUCAAAUUAUAAACCAAAAUGAUUUCUUUAAUUCUCUUCAUUUUGUCUUUGUCAUCUUGAAAACAAGAAUCUUGCACAUAAAAAGUAAAUAAGAUGAUAUUAAUAUAUUGCAACACUGAUAAGAGUCAUUGUAAUAUUUUAAAAUAUCAGAUAUAUUGUGAAUUUAUAAUAUUGUUAAGGAAAUAAUAAUUAAAUCUACAAUGCAAAAAAAAAAAAUAAACAGGAAAAACUUUUAAUAGUAGAUGCAAGGUCGGACAUGUGGCUGUUGCUGCUACGAUUUUCAAAGACUACGAACUGGAGUGCUGGUGAUUGCUGAUUCCCAUUUAUACAGAGAUUACUGGCGGGAGGAAACGAAUCAAACGAUAGAAACUGCUGACAAUUAGGAAUAUUGCUUUGUAUAAGUCCGUUGAGUCACGUGGAUAUUAUCUUAAUUCAGACUGCAAUUGCCAAGUAAAUUGAAUUGACUGUAGGCCCUACAGCGGUGAUGCAUGCGAUGAUGUCACUAGGAAAAUGAUAAACUAACAAAUGCAAGACAAAAAGACAGAAGCGGCAGCCAAUGCUGUCGUUUCACGCGUUCUUUUUUCUAAUCUUUUUUGUGGGGCUGACAAUAAAUAAUAAAAUAAGUUUAAAAAACAAAAACGAUGUUCUCACGAAAUAAAGUAUGAAAUGUCUCUUACGAUUUCACACAUGCAACAAAAGCACCCAACAGCCACCUUCACGCGUCUGGCUCUUUCAUUUCUUCCUCAUCACAACUCUUUCUCUCUCACCUCCAAGCUGCCAGCCACUACAACAAGCUCCACUGUAUCAGUCUCUUUUCUCACAACAUAAUCGCAGUAAUGUUUAGAAGUGAUUUUACAAAAUAACUUUGUAUUUGUUUUGUUUUAAGAAUGAAGAAUGCGGUAGAGCUUUUUUUCCUUUUUUUUGGAUUGUAUUCCUUGGUGCUUUGAACGAAAUUAAUUUAUUUACUAAGUUGUGUGCUUUUGCUUUCAACCCACUUAGAUUUAACUUUGCUGAAUUUGUAAUUAACCUCAGAAGUAUCCUGCUGAGGAUUGAAGCACAAAGAAGCAAAUUAAAACAAAACACGGGUAGAGCAAGAAAAAUAAUUAAUUAAACAAUAUAGUUGCUUUAAAUACUACAAAAAUUACAAACAAAAUACUUCACUUUAACUGACAAGCGUGUGAAUUUUUAAUGAAAGUUACAGACUAUAAAUUUUUUUUAUGGCAAUAGUGGGUAAUAAAUUUGAUAAACAAAAUAGAACAAUUUAGAGGCUGCAAAGUUGAUGGAAAAGAUAGAUGGCAAAGUCCAGAACAAAAACUGAGAACAACAACGACAAAGGCUCAGUGAUGACAUUAUUGCUAGAUCAAAGUUUUUGGAAGUUGGAGUGAAGCUUGAUCGCCUUGAAUGAUUUCUUCAUAACCCACCUUCAAAACCCAACUGAUGUUAACAAAUUGAUUUAUUGGAUGAGACAGUUGUGUAUGUGAGGGUAUGAGAGCAAAGAGACUUGUUGUUGUACUGUUGGGAAUGAGGCAACUGCGUGGAGAUGGGAGAAAACAGCUGCUGCAGUGGAGCUUAUGGCUGCGGCUGGCAGCUAGGAGACGAGAGAGAAAGAGUUGCAAUGAGGGAGAAAGGAAAGCAGUGUAACGAGGGAGAAAGGAAAGAGCCCCUGAACUUUGUUAUUUUAAUAUUUUUUUAAUAAAAAAUAGAAACAGAAAUAGGACCCACAAAAACUUAUUUCUAUCGUCCCUUUGUCAUUCCAUUGUUCAUUUAGCACUAUUCCUUUUACAUAUGCCCUUGCUUAUUCAAUCUCAAUCAUCCAACUUUAAAAUUUAAAAAAAAACAUUUAAAGAUAAAUAAGUAAUUUAAUAAAUGAAUUUUCAUCGAAUUAACCAUAUUUGAUUCGUUUAUGACCCAUUUAUUAAAUAAAUCAUAAACAAAUAAACGAAUUAAUGUACUCAAAUCCGAAUUCAAUUCCUUUAGUUAGUAAAUAGAAUAGAAUUCGCCCAUUUAUUAAAUAAAUCAAUUUUUUCAAACCCAAACUCAUUUAAAUAUUGAAUAAAUGAAUCAUAACCUAGAUUGCCUCCCCUAUCUGAAUCUAAAGAAGAGCAAGCAUAAAUAUUAUUUAAUUUCUUGUUGUGUUUCCACGAAAGUUGCACAUAUGUCGUUAAAUUCUCUCGCUCACGAAUUUAAAAGUAAAGACAAUUUCAUAUUCAUAAAAGAAAUAAAAAUAAAUAAAUUCUAUUAUCUUUUAAUUGACUCCAACAUCCCAAUUUAAUUAAGACACUCUUAUUGUUCAUGGAUAAAACAUAAAACAUAAUGUUUGGGGAAGAAAUAAAAGACAAAUGAUGAAAGGCAACGUGUGGAUAUAGGGCUUGUUUGGUUGUUGUAUUAAAGCCUCUCAUUGUAUUAAUUUUACACAAGCCCAUGUUUGGCAAAUAAAAAAUUAGAGGACCACCACAUUAAAAGCCCAAACUAAUGCGGCAACUGCUGCUUGUUUUGUUUUUUUUCUUUCUUUCUCUCUCCCUUUUUGCUUUUGCAAUUGUUUUUGAGUUUUGCUUUUUGACUUUUGCUUUAUAAUAAUAAUAAUAAUUAUUAUUA